rnacentral:rRNA from 1 species
UGGGGAAUUUUGGACAAUGGGCGAAAGCCUGAUCCAGCAAUGCCGCGUGUGUGAAGAAGGCCUUCGGGUUGUAAAGCACUUUUGUCCGGAAAGAAAUCCUUGGCUCUAAUACAGUCGGGGGAUGACGGUACCGGAAGAAUAAGCACCGGCUAACUACGUGCCAGCAGCCGCGGUAAUACGUAGGGUGCAAGCGUUAAUCGGAAUUACUGGGCGUAAAGCGUGCGCAGGCGGUUUGCUAAGACCGAUGUGAAAUCCCCGGGCUCAACCUGGGAACUGCAUUGGUGACUGGCAGGCUAGAGUAUGGCAGAGGGGGGUAGAAUUCCACGUGUAGCAGUGAAAUGCGUAGAGAUGUGGAGGAAUACCGAUGGCGAAGGCAGCCCCCUGGGCCAAUACUGACGCUCAUGCACGAAAGCGUGGGGAGCAAACAGGAUUCAGAUACCCUGGUAGUCCAGCGCCCUAAACGAUGUCAACUAGUUGUUGGGGAUUCAUUUCCUUAGUAACGUAGCUAACGCGUGAAGUUGACCGCCUGGGGAGUACGGUCGCAAGAUU